rnacentral:lncRNA from 1 species
UGCAGGCGGCUCGCCCAGGCGCGCAGCCCUCGGUCCCACCUCCCUCUGGCUCGGGCCUGAGCAUUCCGCAGCCUCGGCCGGCCCGGGCCUCUUCUCCGCUGCUCUGCUCCCCCAAGGACUUUCUGUGCCCCACUCCUACCCAGGCAGGGCUGCCCUGUCUUGGGUCCUUUACGGGGGACCAUUCCCCAGCGUCCCUGAGACACUCAUCCUGGGAUUUCUUCCCCUAAAUACAGACAUUCUCAAACCAAAUGAGACCUCGAGGUCCCUACACCUGAUCCUGCCUCCCACUCCCUGAGCCACACUGAGAAGGAAGGUCUCUCCUUUAGGGAGGACUCUGGCGCCUGCAACCUUGAUCGACAGCAAAGAUGUCCAGUGUGUAUCCUGCAUCUGCCUUUCCUGACCAUUCCUCGUGCCCCAUUCUCCGUGGGAUAGAUUCUCAUGGGGAGUGGGGGAGCCUUCGGGUGUGGCAGAACGGCAUGAUGGAAUUCAUAAGUUGAUUUUUCAGCAAACCUUCAGAAGGCAAAGGGGAAGUUUUCCUUUGGCCCCCACAGACCCAUGCUGGGGGACGUCCUGAGGAUGGGUGAGGAGAGAAAUCUUCCAGGACAAGAAAGUGAAGGCAACCCAGUUAGGAGGCAUCUGGGACUUUCCUGGCCAACUCUGAAGACAUCAAGUUGAACCAUGACCCGGAUUCGGUCUUGGAAGCAGAUGAGAGGGUAAAGAGUUGAAGCCAGGUCUACACUCUGAUUCCUCCAAGUCACCGAGUGGUUUCAUGUGAAAGGGGUCUGGGCAGGAGUGAGCCGAGGUUAGCGGUGGUAUUUCAGUGAUUUGGCAAAUGUGCACAGAUGGCUCAUAAACCGCCCCCCCACAUGCCACCGACAGGAAACUACCACUUGACAACACGCCUGCUUCUGCCGCAUCACAGACUUAGCAGAGUCUGUUCAGAAUCUCCUUGCAUUUCCAAAUGAAGCUUGGAUGUUAGCAGAUGUUAAACCCAAGAACAGGUACACCUGGGCUCUAAAUUCAUCUUCUGACUGAAGUUGAAGAUAAAACCUGAUACCAGUUUGGAGUAGAAAGAGACACAGUAUUGUAAUCAUAAAUGACAUUUGACCUUAAAACAGUAACACAGCAAAUUUCUAAUUAAAGUGGAGCAUGUCCUGUCUUGACUGAGGCACCAAGACGAUUUGUUGCAGAUUGUUGCUGGCAGUGUGCAGUCCCCAAGACCAAAUCACCAAGAGGCACAGUGGUAAGAGUGGUCAGCAAGGAGCGGAGCGCCUUCCUCCCACCAGCAGGUGACUCACCACAUCGUGUCCUCCUUGGCGUAAGAGGCGCCCUAAAGGUUUCUCCGUUCCAGUUAUCCUAACUGGAAUACUGUUCCUGAAAAAAGCGUAUAUUUAAGGCCCUGCUAGCUAUAAGCAAUCCUUCAAGGAAGAGAAUUAUAAACAACCUUUCUUCCAAGUUUUUGUUCUUUGCCUCACUUAUAUGCCGAUUUAAAUCGUUCUCUAAGAAAAGGUGGUAUUUCCUCUCACUGCAGGUUCUACCAGACUCUCAUCACCUGCUUGCCAAGCAGCAGCCAAGGGAAAACAGUUUGAAAUUUACUGCUAACAAUUGGUUCACAUACAUACCGGGUACGGGGGACUCUUGCCUGUAGUCCCAGCUACUCAGGAGGCUGAGGCUGGAGGAAUGCUUGAGUCCAGGAGUUCAA